UUGGGAUAAACGUUCAAAUGUGAGCUUGAGUGUACAUACCGUAAAAUGGUGUGAAAAUUAACGUUGUGGAAAAUGAUUAUCGUACUUUUUCAUGUGCUUUACCUUCUCGGGAAAUAUAUCUACCAGAGCUAUUGCAGUGAGCAACGAAAAACAGAGAGUGAUAUCGUAAAAGAACCGGAGGAGAGGCACUACAUCUCUGAUGGUUCUGCGAUUGCCGCUGAGAAGAUAAAUUCUUUAACACAGGAUUUCGGUGACAUUAGAUUUUUUCCUCCCGUUUACAUUCAGAGAUAUGAAAGCGUCACGAAUGUCCUCACGGAUUCUCGAUAUCAUGGAAAAUUACACAAGGUGGUUGAUUUUGGAUGCUCAGAACUUGGUUUCUUCAUUUAUUUGAAACGCAUAAAAGGAAUAAGAGAGGUAUUAUGUGUCGACGUGGAUAGGGAAAUCCUUGAGAUACAUAAGCGGAAGGUUGUUCCACUCUAUGCAGAUUUUCUUCACAAAAGAGAAGAUCCUCUUAAAGUCCAUGUAUAUGAAGGCAGUGUCACACACAGAGAAAAAAAGCUGGAAAAUUGUGAUGCUGUUGUCUGCAUAGAAUUGAUUGAACAUUUGUACCCGGAUACAGAAAUAGAUCUUCCUUAUAAUAUUUUUGGAUACAUUAAACCACAAGUUGCAAUUAUAACAACUCCUAAUGCAGAUUUCAAUGUAUUGUUUAAAAAUUUAUCUGGAUUUAGACAUCCAGAUCACAAAUUUGAGUGGACGAGGCAGCAGUUUCAAGAAUGGUCAUGGAAUAUUAUUUCACGGUACCCUGAAUAUGAAGUAUCGUUUCAUGGUAUUGGUUGUGGACCAUCAGGUACUGAACCUUUCGGAUGUUGUUCACAAAUGGCAGUCUUUCAUCGCCAUUCUGAAUACAUAGGUGCAAGAAUAGAAGGGAUUGAAGGAUUAUUUAAAGAAGUGAUUUCAGAUGAAUAUCCAGUUUGUAUUGACAAUCGUUCGGACGCAGAGAAAAUAUUACAUGAGGCUACAUAUUAUAUUCACCAAAUUGCUUCAUGUGAUGAAGACAUGUCCGAGGAAGUUCCACUGGAAAGUCUAUUGCUGUAUAUGGGAUCUUUAAAUAUUUCAUUAGAGAUCCUCAAAGAGAUUCUUGAACAAGCUGAAUGGGCUAUUGUGGAACGGGAAAAUGGACCUGUUGUCUUAAUACCACCACAAUCAACAUUUUCUGAUUACGAUAAUAUAGAUAUUGCAGACGAUGAAUAUGAGGACCAACAGGAAGAGAUACCAAUGAUAUAUACUAAUAAUACUGUCGGUGAAGAUUGGAACGAUGAGGUAUGGAAUGAAGAACCAAUAGUAGAACGUGAAAAUGGAUCGAUUGUCUUAGAACAAUCAAUAUUUUCUGAUUGUAAUAAUAAACAAUAUAAUGGAAGAUUUUCUCCUGUAAAUGAAAUGUAUCAAUCUGAGAAUACGUGGAGUACUGAAAACUUUGAUACAUCUGUUAAUAUUGUCAAUUUAACAGAUGAAAGCAAUUAUGCUGCCAAUAAUUGUCAAGCACAAGACCCAGAUGAAUUUGAAGUUGUGACCAAUUCAAGUUGCUCCUUGGAAUCAAGUUUUUCCCAGAACGUUCUUGCUUCUAACUUACAGGAAUCUUCUCUCCCUGGUGGCAGAACUACACCAGAAAAUAGAUUACCUUCUCUUUGUAAUGAACCGACUACAAUGCAUGCACAAAAUAAGGACAAUUUAUGCCAAACUACUUUUUCUUCUUUACAGUGUAAUUCAAUUGCACAAGAAAACAGUCUUGAAACAUCACGAGCCGCUAUAUCAUCUUGUGAUGUUGUGGAUGGUAAUAACGAAAAUUUAAGUUUAGAUGUUCAAAAACCAUUCAACAACGUAUCUCGAAAAGGUAAAUUGAAACUACUUUCGUGUGCAAAAAAAACUGAGUUUAAAAAAACUGCUGAGGGUAAUCUAGAAGGAGAAGAAGAAGAAACUAGUAUACAGAGUCAAUUUUCGAUGAAUUCUUCUUGUCAGAAUAAACAGAGUGCAAAGCCUAAUAAAAGGCAGUUGGAAAAUGGUGAUACUUUUCUCCAAGGGAGCAAUGAAAAUCUACAUGAAUGUGGAAUUUUCAAUGAUCACAAUAGUUCCUGCAGUGUACACAAAAGGAUGCGACAAAACACCAACAGAAAUGUACAUACUCAAAGUGCUAUUGAUACAUCGGUCAAACAUACUGUAAUAGAAGCGUGUAGCGAUCAAGACAGUGGUUACAAAGAUACAGAAUCGAAUAUGUUGAGAUUCAAGUUUGAAGAUAAAAGUAUUCUACAAGGCCAUGAAAUAAAAUUAGACUCUACUUAUUCUUUACUUAGUCUUGCUAACUAUGGUUCAAGUUCCCAUCCAACGUACAUAAGUUCACCACGCACAUGCGGAGAGAACCAAAGCUCUGGUAAUAUCCAGCAAUCUGCAUGUAGGAAUUGGUGUCUAACCGAAGGAGCUACCGAAAGUGAAAAUGAACCUUCAACUGGCACCGAUGAUCUUAUUAAAUUGAUUCACGAAUCUGUUAGCAUAACGUCCGGAGAGUCAAAUAGCGUAGGCCAAUUGGAAAGUUCAAGCCUCACUUCACUGCCUAGUAGCGAUAACAUCAGUGAUUGCACUUCAUCUAGUAUUAGCUGUAAUAUGAUGGAUAAAUGGUACCAAUUGGAAAAGAAUCCUAUGUAUCAACGAGAAGCAGUAAUGCUAAAAGGUGGAAAUGACGAUGCUGACCGUCCUCUUGAUGAAAUCACCUCGGACAGUGACUUGGCCUUAUCGGAAAGUAAUCAAGGUAAAGAGAAAGAAGUAUCGAAACAUAUACAUCAAGUGAAAGAAGGACCUAGUAAUUGGACUUGUAGGAGUCAUCAACCAAGAAUCCUUCUGGAUGAAGCCUCUGCAACAAAAGAUGAUGAAAGUCAUUCAUUGGAAUCACAAGGAAAAGAAUCGAACCAUAGUGAAAAGAUAAGUAAUAUGCUCGAUGGCCUGUCUGAAAGUGGCUUAAGGUUAAACAAUUUAUUAAAGACUUGUACUACAGAUCAACAAGAUCAAUUAAAACAAAUGAAUCAAGAAAGAAGAAAGAAUGAGGAUACCAAAACGAUUAAAGCUGCAAAAGAUACGGAUGUUUCUUCCAUAGAUUUUACAGAAAGUCUAUCAAAAGUAGAAGGAAAGAUGUCAGGUAAAAAAAGUAAUAGGAAAGAAAAGGUGAAAUCGACAGGUAGUGACAUUCUAGUCCUGCGUUCAGAGGAUCUGGUUUCUUCUAGUGUAUCCACUUCAGAUGUUGACAUUUCUUCAAAGAGGAAUAUGGAUGCUAUCUCUAGUGGAACAGUUGAUGUUCUCAGUACGAAUAACGAUAGCUUAAAGGCUAUUGCUGACUACGUUAAAGCAGCAGAUCAAGAAUGUUUACAACCUGCGAUACAUAUCACCAAAGAUAUUACAGACAGGAUGGAAGAAGCAAAAAAUAAAUUGAAAACCGUUUUCGAAGAUAUCGAAAGAUUGGCAGGCACGAUUCCUUUACCAAAGGAUUUGCCAGAAAGAUUACAGGUUGAUUUAAACUUGAGUGCAAGUUCUUGCGGAUCGCAGGAUAGACUCGAUACUUCUCUAGGAGAAGACACAAUAGAAGCAUUAUGUCCAGUAAAAGAUUUAGGACUGACUGCGGAUUCAAUACAUCUCGAAACAAGUGCAUCGCGUGAAAGUUGCAGAAACGUAGAGUCGGUGACAUGCAAAGAGAGCACAUCUUCGACUCAACCCUCUGCUGCCAAACCCAAAGAUACCAUUCGGUUCAAAACGUCCGAAUCAGCAAAGGACUUUGCAGAGCAUGCUGAAGUAAAACCAAUAUCUCCGGAAGUUACGGAAACUCCACCUAAUAGUUGGUCUCCAGAAAUCAUGGACUCUGGUUACCCAAAUUCAGCGUCAGCUCAGGACAUGACUCCAGAGUAUGACCUGUCUAGCAUAGGUAUCGACAGGAUAUCAGACUCCGAAUCACCAAUUGCAGCUGAAAUGCCUCGAUUGGGCUUCGCAGAGUUAGCAGAAGUGGAGAACGGAGACCUGGCAAACAAUAAUAGAGAUGGGGAAGGUAAUAAUGUUAUGGCAGCAGAAGCCAAUGACGAUUUCGAAGACCUCCAACCACUUAUAGAUGUCCUCGAGAAUGACAUGGAGAAUGAAAAUGAUAUUUAUGUUUUGGAAAACGGGUUUCCUCUGUGGUUACUUAGAAUACUGGUAAUGGCCAAUCCCAUCGAUGCGGAUGGUGGUCCAGAAUUUGAACGAGCCGGUGAAGAAGCAGCAGGUGGCGAUGCACCCAUUAUGCAUAUAGAUUCAGACGAGGGUUUUGACAGUAGUUCAUCGGAAGAUGACAGCGACGAUGAGAUUGGCGAUGACAUCGUAAAUCCACAAGGUGUCAAUGAAAUCGAAGACGCAGACGAUGUCACCACGCAGUCAAGUGAUGUUACCGAAAACGAGAGUUUAGGAAGUCUUAGAAGAGACUGGAGGGCUGGGGGAGAUCCAUGAAUGAUUUAACGAAUCUUUUUAAAAUCAGAGGUCUAAUCACCCGAUGAGCUACGCUCGCCGGAUGCUUCGCAUUCCAAAGAAUGCACAUCUUUUGAGAAAUCAUCGACAACUUACAUAAAUAACUGAUUGACACUUAUCUAUUCAUACAUCUUCGACGAAGACAAGAAAGUGUUCGCCUUCAGCAUCUGUCAAUUGGGAGACUUUACAUUGACCACCACGAGCUUCCACAGUUUUUAAAUAAUAACGGCG
rnacentral:misc_RNA from 1 species